GACGAACGCUGGCGGCGUGCUUAACACAUGCAAGUCGAACGGAAAGGCCAUGCUCUUGCGGCUUGCUCGAGUGGCGCACGGGUGAGUAUCACGCGUGUAACCUGCCCUUGACUUUCGGAUAACUUCAGGAAACUGCGGCUAAUACCCGAUAGGAGCUCUUGCUGCAUGGUGUGGGAUGGAAAAUUUCGGCGGUUGGGGAUCGUCUCGCGGCUUAUCAGCUGGUUGGUGUGGUAGUGGCUUACCAAGGCUUUGACGGGUAGCCCACCUGAGAGGGUGACCGGCCACCGUGGUCCUGCGAUACGGCCCAGACUCCUACGGGACGCAGCGGGGGAGAGCAUUGCAGAAUGAGCGGAAGCGUGAGGCGAACACGUUGCGAGCGUGAAGACGUCCUUCGAGUUGUAAACCACUUUCGCAUUUAACGAAGCCUGAGUGACGGUAAUGGGUAAAAAAGCCCCGGCUAACUACGUG
rnacentral:rRNA from 1 species